ACGCCGCAGUCCCGUCCUCCCACCGCCAAAAUACCCUCACCCAACCCCACCAUCAAACCAUUUCCCUUCUCCUCUGUUCACUUCUUCGAGGAAAAAAGUUAAAGAAAGCAGGUGAAGUUCAUGGUGGUAUGGCCGACUCAAGGGUUCGAAUGUGAUGGUACGGCAGCACCCGCGGGAGAAGCAGCUGAGGAUGUGGGUACAAAUCCAAGAAACGAAAACCCCGCUGGAAAAAACCCUUAAACCACCGUUUUCUCCCCAUCAUCAAACCCCACCCACACUCACAUGGUGAAACCCUCUCACCUUCAUUUCUUUUUUCUUGUGUUCAUUUCUCACCCAAAAAACAGAGUAAAGAAAACCAAGAAAAGCAGGGGGGAGAGACAGAGCGAGAAGGAGGCCUCAAAUUAUGGUUUGGGAUUACACUGGUUUUGGAUAUACAAGGUACAAUGCCAGAGACAUUAACAAAGAAAUACUAGGGUGUCAUUGCUAAGAGGAUAUAAAUCAGACAGGAGACCUGCAAACUCGACAAUGAUGGCAAUUCUGGAUGGCUUUCAGAAGGCAUAUUC